GCGGCCAAUCCCGAGCCGCCCCCACCCCACGAGUCUCGCCCCUGAACUGGAAGAGCCGAGGAGGGGGUUGGGGGAGGUGUCACACCCAAAUGGCGUGGAAGCAGUGCACGGUUGCAGAAGUCACUUGGAUCGCCUCCAAUUGAGUGGGGCACUUGAGGAAACAAUUGUCUAGGACCCAUCUGUGCGUAGUGAUGGCUUCCCAAUUGGUAAGAAACAGUCGUAGAUGGUGUCCAAAGAAAUGGAUGGUUGAAACUGGUGCUGAAGAGGGUGUGAGGCUUUCUUUCUAUACCCUCAACCAAGACUUCAAAUUUGUUUAUUUGAGGUGGCUGGAUGCCUAAAGAUCUGAGUGUGGCAAGUGAGUCCUUCAUGGAAUGGAGGGCCUCAUUGGUCAUAGAGGUGAAGAACUUGUCCCCUUCGAUGGGGACAUCUUUGACAGUGCUCUGUAUCUUCUUGGGAAAGGAGGAAGAAGCAAACCAUCAGGCAUGCCGCAUGAUGAUGGCCACGGCUGUGGAUCUGGUGGCUGCAUCAACAGCAUUGAGGGCAGCCUGAAGAGCUGUGCGGGAGAUCAAUUGGCCCUCAGACACCACUGCUUUGAAUUGUUGUUGUUUGUCUUCUGACACAUC